AGCCAAUGAUGUUUUAAGAGUAGUGGACAGAAAGGUUUCUGAGAACUGAAAACACUGAGGCU
ensembl:snoRNA